GACGGAGGAUGCAAGUGUUAUCCGGAAUCACUGGGCGUAAAGCGUCUGUAGGUGGUUUAAAAAGUCCACUGUUAAAAAUUGAAGCUUAACUUCAAAGAUGCCGUGGAAACUUUUAAACUUGAGUAUGGUAGGGGUAGAGGGAAUUUCCAGUGGAGCGGUGAAAUGCGUAGAUAUUGGAAAGACCACCAAUGGCGAAGGCACUCUACUGGGCCAUUACUGGCACUGAGAGACGAAAGCUAGGGGAGCAAAUGGG
rnacentral:rRNA from 1 species